rnacentral:rRNA from 1 species
GACGAACGCUGGCGGCGUGCUUAACACAUGCAAGUCGAACGGUAAGGCUCCAGCUUGCUGGGGUACACGAGUGGCGAACGGGUGAGUAACACGUGGGUGACCUGCCCUGCACUUCGGGAUAAGCCUGGGAAACUGGGUCUAAUACCGGAUAGGACCGCACCGUGAGGGUGUGGCGGAAAGUUUUUUCGGUGUGGGAUGGGCCCGCGGCCUAUCAGCUUGUUGGUGGGGUAAUGGCCUACCAAGGCGGCGACGGGUAGCCGGCCUGAGAGGGUGGACGGCCACAUUGGGACUGAGACACGGCCCAGACUCCUACGGGAGGCAGCAGUGGGGAAUAUUGCACAAUGGGCGGAAGCCUGAUGCAGCGACGCCGCGUGGGGGAUGACGGCCUUCGGGUUGUAAACUCCUUUCACCAUCGACGAAGGGUUUCUGACGGUAGAUGGAGAAGAAGCACCGGCUAACUACGUG